rnacentral:lncRNA from 1 species
AGACUGUCUUAUAAUUAUUAAUUAUUGAAUUUAAUUUUUAUGUUAAAAAGCUUAAAUUUUAUUAGAGGACGAGAAGACCCUAUAGAGUUUUAUAAUUAAAUUUAUUUUAUUAAUUAAUUUAUUUUUAUGAAAUAAAUAUAAUUAUUUUGUUGGGGUGAUAAUUGAAUUUAAUAAACUUUUCAUUUUGUUUUACAUUAAUUAAUGAAUUUUUGAUCCUAUAUUUUAGAUUAUUCGAUUAAAUUACCUUAGGGAUAACAGCGUUAUUUUUUUUAAAGUUCUUAUUGACAUAAAAAAUUUCGACCUCGAUGUUGGAUUAAAAUUUAUUUUGGGUGUAGAAGCUUAAAAAUUUAGGUCUGUUCAACCUUUAAAAUUUUACAUGAUCUGAGUUCAAACCGUAGAUCUGAAGA